rnacentral:rRNA from 1 species
AUGCUCUGCUGCUUCGGCACCCCCGCGCGCUCUGCUCAACCUGCUCCUCUUCCGCGUGACCAGUCCGUAGUGAUGGCCAGCAACAGCGCCAACAACUUUCCCGCGGCCGGCGAGGGGGGAGCGGACCGUGCCUUGGGUUCCCAGCAACGCCGCGUACGCCGCCGCUGCCGCCGUUCCGCCCAGGUCACCGAAGAAAGGGAGGGUCCCGGCGUGGUACUUGCCGCCCGGUGGCGCGGGGCGUACGGGGCGGCUGGGAUGUUGGGGAGCUACCGGACGAUCAUGGAGGAGAAGGUGUCGCUGCACCCGUCCUUCUUUACUUGGGCUGACGGCUCGCGCAUGCACUUAUUCGCCGUCUUUGACGGCCACGGUGGCCCCGAGGUGUCAGCGCUGUGCAGGGACCAUAUGCACGCAAUCCUGGCGGACGAGCUGGCCCGCGCAGCCGCAGCCUACCGAAAGGAGGACCAGCAGGACGAAGAGGCGGAACAUCGCGCCUGGAAGGCCGCACUGACGCGGAGCUUCGUGCGGGCUGACGAGCUGGGGGCGUCGGGGGUGCCCCGCGGCACCAUCGGUGGGUCCACGGCCGUGGUGGCGCUCUUGGUCCGCGGCCGCAUUAUGGCCAACUGCGGCGACUCCCGCACCGUGCUCUGCCGCGCCCGCCGCGCCGUCCCGCUCUCCGAGGACCACAGGCUGGACCGACCGGAGGAGAUGGCGCGUGUCACGGCGGCGGGCGGCGUGGUGUUCAACUACGGCGGGGUGCUUCGCGUGCAGGGGAUCCUUGCCAAGACGCGCGCGUUAGGGCACACGCUCCUCAAGCCUGAAGUGAUAUGUGAGCCCGAGAUUACCAUAACUGCGAGGUCGGAGGAUGAUGAUUUCAUGAUCCUUGCAAGUGAUGGACUGUGGGAUGUGAUGUCAAACCAGGUGGCCUGCAGCGCUGCCUGGAAAUGCUUAGAAGAUAAGAGCUCCAAUGUUGGCAUAGUGGUUGGCCACGAGGAAGAGGUUCGGUGUAUACGCGCUGCGUUCGAGCUCACGAAUCUUGCCUUCCGCAUGCAUAGCCGAGAUGACAUAUGUGUGGUUGUGAUUGAUCUGAAGAUGAGGGGUUAG